rnacentral:rRNA from 1 species
GUGCCAGCCGCCGCGGUAAUACGUAGGGUGCGAGCGUUAAUCGGAAUUACUGGGCGUAAAGUGUGCGCAGGCGGCGCCGCAAGUCGAGUGUGAAAGCCCCGAGCUUAACUUGGGAAUUGCGCUCGAAACUAUGGUGCUGGAGUGUGGCAGAGGAAGGUGGAAUUCCACGUGUAGCGGUGAAAUGCGUAGAGAUGUGGAGGAACACCGAUGGCGAAGGCAGCCUUCUGGGCCAACACUGACGCUCAUGCACGAAAGCGUGGGGAGCAAACAGGAUUAGAUACCCCCGUAGUCC